ACUACCGAUGAACGGUUUAGUGAGGCCUUCCGACCCGCGCGCUCUCGGUCCCCGUCCACCGGAGUCUCCGGCGGCGGCGGAACGAGGACGGCCGGGCAAGUCGGUCGAACUUGAUCGUUUAGAGGAAGUAAAAGUCGUAACAAGGUUUCCGUAGGUGAACCUGCGGAAGGAUCAUUAACGGACCGAAGGACGAUCGAUACCCUGUGAACCGUACCGCGUGGUGGGGGUGGUUGUCGGUGCCUCAAAUGGCCCGUGAGUGCACGGGGCCGGCCCCUCCUUUGUUUCGAUCGACCAACGCAUUGAUUUUCCAGACUGUCAUCCAUACGCAAUGUUUAAUAAAUGACGACAACUCGGAACGGUGGAUCUCUUGGCUCACGCAUCGAUGAAGAACGCAGCCAGCUGCGAUAAGUAGUGCGAAUUGCAGAAUACAGUGAAUCAUCGAAUCUUUGAACGCAAAUGGCGCUCUCGGGUUGCAAUCCCGGGAGCAUGUCUGUCUGAGUGUCGGAUCCAUCCGUCCGUCCGCAUUCGUUGCUCGUUCGUGGGCAGCAAAGGAAGAUCGAGGUGUCACGGCCGGCCCGGGGCCGGCCGUGUCCCUCUCGGUCCAGCGUCCGUCUCGGUUCCACACGCGGAUUCGACCGAGGAGGAGAACGACGAACCAGAAAUGGUCUUGUCGACCUCAGAUCAGGCAAGACGACCCGCCGAAUUUAAGCAUAUCAAUAAGCGGAGGAAAAGAAACUAACCAGGAUUCCCCCAGUAACGGCGAGUGAAGCGGGAACGGGCUCGAACCGAAAAUCGCCGGCCCUCUCCCGGGAGGGCCGCCGACUUGUGGUCGAGAGAAGCGCUCCUUCCAGGCCGUCGUCCGGGUCGCGUCCGAGUCGCUUGGAAGGGCGCGUCGCGGAGGGUGAGAACCCCGUCGGCGGCGCGACCCGAGGGCCCGCGAGGCGCUUUCCGA
rnacentral:rRNA from 1 species